rnacentral:rRNA from 1 species
UAAUACGAGGGGAGCAAGCGUUGUCCGGAUUUAUUGGGCGUAAAGGGCGUGUAGGUGGAUUGAUAAGUCAGGUUUUAAAUAGUACGGCUCAACCGUAUCAAUGGGUCUGAUACUGUCAGUCAUGAGUUCGAGAGAGGGAAGCGGAAUUCCUGGUGUAGCGGUGAAAUGCCAUGAUAUCAGGAGGAACACCGGUGGCGAAGGCGGCUUCCUGGCUCGUAACUGACAUUGAGGCGCGGAAGCGUGGGUAGCAAACAGGAUUAGAUACCCUGGUAGUCCACGCCGUAAACGAUGGAUACUAGCCGUCGGGAGAUUUUCGACCCUUUCGGUGGCGAAGCUAACGCAUUAAGUAUCCCGCCUGGGGAGUACGAUCGCAAGAUUG